ACAGUCGGCUAUUGCUGUGUAAAUGAUUUUAGCUUCUUCUCCAGUUCUCCACUCACCAAUCUGCAAAAGAACAACAACCAAAAGCAAAAACAAACAGAGAGAAAUACAGAAAGAGAAACCUGAAGCCCUCCUUUUUGGACAUCACGAUCUUCUUCAUUAUCAAAGGUAUUGGCUUGAUUUCUUCAAAAUCAGUGUAUAGCACUCUUGAAGAGUAACGCCAAGGCGCGCAUUUGCAGUAUUUUGAAGGCUAUUGAUCUUGAAGAAGACCUUGAUUCUGAGCCUAUUUGCCUUUUAAUUUCUGAGCUAGAAAUAAGUAUUGCCGGUCUCAAUUCUGACGGAGGAAGAAGCAGCUCUAAGCGACUCAGGGUACGUAGGAGUAGAAGACAGACUGUGACUAAAGUCACAGACCCAUGUUUAGUUUUUGACUGUGAAUAUUAAGUUAUUAACUGAUGGCCGAUUGUGAUCACGGAGUAAUUUCUUUUGUGGCUGUGGUGCAGACCAGAUUUGAGGUGGAACAAGCUGCUCACUAUCUGAUAAUCAAGUGUCAAGGAAAGUAAGCAUGUCUAAAAUUUCACAGGAUACCAUCUUCCGUUAGUAUAGAUAUAACUAGAAGAGAUUAGAUUCUGCUGUAGGCCGUUACUGAGGAAACAUGCAAGUCUGCAUUAAAAUUGAAUAUAAAAACUAAUGAUAGUGAAAGUGCCUAAACCAAACUGUAUUGAGUCUUAAUACCAAAUCAAAUGAAUCUCUAAUUCUCUCUAUCUACCAAAAAAGUAAAUAAAUCAAAUCAGCGUCUGCAGCUGGGAUUUGUUUUAUAGAUAAGAUGUUUGGUGGUCUGGGAAUUAAAGGGACAACACAAGACAAGACAAAUUUAUUUUUAUUAUUGUUAGCAGCCAUUUGUCUCAGUGCUAUUUGUUUGCUACAUUCUACUGAACAAUCUGAUGUUCUUGAGUUGAAAAUCUAAUUAGGCUGUAAUCAUAAGCUAUGUUUUUAUAUUUUGCAAUGCUAUUUGUCUGCUACAUUCUACUGAACAAUCUGAUGUUCUUGAGUUGAUUAAUUUAGUUUAUUCCUUUCGAGCUUCAUUCUUUUCUCAGUGUAUAUACUCAAUUCACUGCUCUCUUUUUUUGUCCUGUUUUUCAUUUAUGAUAAGAUUUUUUUCUAUCUACAUAUAUUCACUUAUCACCCUUUUUUCUCUUUUCAUUCUGUUUUGUGUUUAUGUUUAUUUUUUUUUUUUCACUCAUACAUAUUAUAUAGGGUAGUAAUGUACUGAAAGAUAUAUUGUAGCUAUUGAAUGAACUGUCAUUACAUGGCUCCUUUUUAUAGCUUGGGUUAUAGAGUAUUCACUUCUUUACUGGUUUUCUCAAUUGAGGCUCUCUCAAUACUUUGCAUGUUUUUGUACAAUGUACAGUAAUGAGAAACUUUAAUUCAGGAACGAAUUUGAGACUUAGGAUUUAGGGUCAUUAUACAGGAACUGAAACUCUGAGCCUAACUUUUCUAUUUUUAGAUAUCAUGCAAUCUAUUUAGGGUCCAAUCACUAUUACAUUGGUUUCUUUUACAGUCCGCAGAUUAUUAAAACUCUGGAAAUCAUUUUUUACUUUCUAUUUAGUUUUUGUUGUCAAUUUAGUUAUAUCUCUGCAUUUACCUCUAUGGUUUGUGUGUGAAUUUCAUUGUUGUUUUCUUUGGCUUUUUCAGAUCUGACCUUCAAAUAAAAAAGCUUCUGUUUUUUGCUGCUGUUGAUUUGUUUUCAGCUUUUUUUUUUUUUUCCUUUUUGGUCAUGGCCUUUGUUCAACUUCUCUAUAGUCAGAUUCUUAUUUACACUAAAUGCAUAACAUUUUACGUGUUUUUUCCUCCGACUUUGGGUAAAUGAUGUUCCAUGAAAUAUGGUUAAAGUGAGUAUCUGUCUCCUCUUUUGCAUAUUUCAGGAUUGAGAAAAGGUUGUUUUUAUGUUUGAAUGGCUGGAGUUGUAUCAUUCAGAUAAUGUAACUGCAAAGACUUAUGUCCUUGGUGAGUGAUGCAAAGGCUGUAAAAUCCCUUACAGCAGCAAUAAUGUAUAGCCACACCCUAUAAAAGUAAUUACUGAACUUCGCAUAGUAAUACGUUGGAUUGUUUAGGAACAUCAUUUACUGAACUUCGCAUAGUAAUGUAUAGCCAGCUCUGUGUAUAAGUAUCAUAUGAUUUUGUGAAUUACAAUUUGUGUUUGUUUAACAAAUUCACCAAGCUGUUUCAGUUAUAAAGAGUUGCAUAUUUAUCCAUUUGGUCAUGUUAUUCCUUUUGAGUCCUGUGAAAUACACUUGCUAAAUCAUUUGCUAAUUAUUUGACAUUUUGUUUGGUUAUGCC